rnacentral:rRNA from 1 species
UACGUAGGGUGCGAGCGUUGUCCGGAAUUACUGGGCGUAAAGGGCUUGUAGGUGGCCAACUAAGUCAGACGUGAAAUCCCUCGGCUUAACCGGGGAACUGCGUCUGAUACUGGAUGGCUUGAGUGUGGGAGAGGGAUGCGGAAUUCCAGGUGUAGCGGUGAAAUGCGUAGAUAUCAGGAGGAACACCGAUGGCGAAGGCGGGUCUCUGGGCCGAUACUGACGCUGAGGAGCGAAAGCGUGGGGAGCGAACAGG